AGCGCUUCUCGGCCUUUUGGCUAAGAUCAAGUGCAGUAUCUUAUCAGUUUAAUAUCAUAGGCUAAGAGCCAAAGAAAUGGUCCAACUUUUUCAGAACAUUUCUCUCCAAAGACGAAUGUUGAGGUUCCGAGGAGUCUUAUUUAUAACACAUUACCUAUGAGAGUGAGGCUCUCUCACC
rnacentral:snRNA from 1 species